GAUCCAGUAGCUCAGUUGGCAGAGCACCUGACUUUUAAUCAGGGUGUCCGGGGUUCGAGUCCCCGCUGGAUCACCA
rnacentral:tRNA from 1 species